rnacentral:rRNA from 1 species
UACGUAGGGUGCGAGCGUUGUCCGGAAUUAUUGGGCGUAAAGAGCUCGUAGGCGGUUUGUCACGUCUGCUGUGAAAUCCCGAGGCUCAACCUCGGGCCUGCAGUGGGUACGGGCAGACUGGAGUGCGGUAGGGGAGAAUGGAAUUCCUGGUGUAGCGGUGGAAUGCGCAGAUAUCAGGAGGAACACCGAUGGCGAAGGCAGUUCUCUGGGCCGUAACUGACGCUGAGGCGCGAAAGCUAGGGGAGCGAACAGG